rnacentral:rRNA from 1 species
UACGUAGGGGGCAAGCGUUGUCCGGAAUUAUUGGGCGUAAAGCGCGCGCAGGCGGUUAUUUAAGUCUGGUGUUUAAUCCUGGGGCUCAACUCCGGGUCGCACUGGAAACUGGGUAACUUGAGUACAGAAGAGGAAAGUGGAAUUCCACGUGUAGCGGUGAAAUGCGUAGAGAUGUGGAGGAACACCAGUGGCGAAGGCGACUUUCUGGGCUGUAACUGACGCUGAGGCGCGAAAGCGUGGGGAGCAAACAGG